GGGACAUUAGCUCAGUUGGUCAGAGCAUUCGGCUCAUAACCGAACGGUCUUAGGUUCGAGUCCUAAAUGUCCCA
rnacentral:tRNA from 1 species